AGUCACGAGUUUGAUCAUGGCUCAGAUUGAACGCUGGCGGAAUGCUUUACACAUGACAAGUCGAACGGUAGAGGGGGCAACCCUUGAGAGUGGCGAACGGGGGAGUAAUAUAUCGGAACGUGCCAGUCGUGGGGGAUAACGUAGCGAAAGUUACGCUAAUACCGCAUACGAUCUACGGAUGAAAGCGGGGGAAUCGCAAGAGCCUCGCGCGAUUGGAGCGGCCGAUAUCAGAUUAGGUAGUUGGUGGGGUAAAGGCUCACCAAGCCAACGAUCUGUAGCUGGUCUGAGAGGACGACCAGCCACACUGGAACUGAGACACGGUCCAGACUCCUACGGGAGGCAGCAGUGGGGAAUUUUGGACAAUGGACGCAAGUCUGAUCCAGCCAUUCCGCGUGCAGGAUGAAGGCCCUCGGGUUGUAAACUGCUUUUGUACGGAACGAAAAGGUUUCUAUUAAUACUAGGAGCUCAUGACGGUACCGUAAGAAUAAGCACCGGCUAACUACGUG
rnacentral:rRNA from 1 species